UACGUAGGGGGCAAGCGUUGUCCGGAAUCAUUGGGCGUAAAGCGCGUGUAGGCGGUCCGGUAAGUCCGCUGUGAAAGUCGGGGGCUCAACCCUCGAAUGCCGGUGGAUACUGUCGGGCUAGAGUGCGGAAGAGGCGAGUGGAAUUCCUGGUGUAGCGGUGAAAUGCGCAGAUAUCAGGAGGAACACCGAUGGCGAAAGCAGGUACCUGGACCAUUACUGACACUCAGCUGCGAAAGCUAGGGGAGCAAACAGG
rnacentral:rRNA from 1 species